UGUGCCGUCACAGAAGCCAUCGGGGAGAGCUGUAAAAAAGUCCAUCAGAUCAGGGUCAUUUUUUGAGAGGAGUAGAAUAAGUCUAAACACCUGGCUAAUGUGUAUAUAUACAGAUUUUUCCAAGGGUUGAGGCUGUGCCAAACUGACAUGUUGCAGGACGGGAAUUCAUAAAGUACACACACACUGUCCAAAAUGAGCAAGAAACUGUGAAAUGUCUGCAUCCUGCAAUGAAGAGAAAGGGGAAGACAGGACAGCAGCUUGAUCCUCAUGAAUUUGUGAUGAUAGAUGAAAGCAACUUCUGCCAUAAACGGAAGUAUGGCCGAGGGCGAUACGGCAAGACAUGCAGGAGAUGAAAGUGGGUUUUCGGAAUGCUAGGCAUCAAAGGAGAAAGAGGGCUGCCAGUUCUCAGACUUGUGAAGAAACGCUCUCGGUGCCAUCUGCUCCCAGUCAUCAGAAGACAUGUUUGUCGGGGAUCAACAAUUAUAAGUGAUCAGUGGCGGGCAUACAUGGGUGCACUUGCCACUGCUGGGUACACCCAUUUCUCUGUGAACCACAGGAGGAGCUUUAUUGAUCCUAACAGUGGAGGACAUACUCAGAACACUGAGAGGGCUGGGGGAUUUACAAAUCCAAAUAUGGCAACUGAGAGGAAACAGGAAUGAGUCUCUUUUGAAGGAGCACUUGACAUUUAUUGAAUGGACAUAUCGGCAAGGCUGUAGGCACGAGUAUGGUCCUUUGGGACGUUUACUGAAGGACAUAUGUCAACAGUUUACAGAGUAAUGAAAUGAGAAAGAAAAAUUAGGUGUUAAUGUAUCAGAAAAUUGAUUAUCAGUUAUAACCAAUACUGUUAAGGAGGGCUGCAACUAACGAUUAUUUUCAUUAUCGAUUCAUCUGUC